rnacentral:misc_RNA from 1 species
AAUUCAGGUAUUAAGCAAUGCAAUAUAUAGAAGUGUGGAGCAUCGAGUGAUUGUAAAUUCAGCAAAAGAACGUGUCUCACUUGCCUUCUUUUAUAAUCCAAAGGGUGAUAUACCCAUAGAACCAUUGAAGGAGCUUGUGACACCAGAGAGACCUUCAUUAUACCAAGCUAUGACUUUUGAUGAGUACAGACUUUUCAUUAGAAC